rnacentral:rRNA from 1 species
UACGUAGGGGGCAAGCGUUGUCCGGAAUCAUUGGGCGUAAAGAGCGUGUAGGCGGCCCGGUAAGUCCGCUGUGAAAGUCCAGGGCUCAACCCUGGGAUGCCGGUGGAUACUGUCGGGCUCGAGUCCGGAAGAGGAGUGUGGAAUUCCUGGUGUAGCGGUGAAAUGCGCAGAUAUCAGGAGGAACACCGGUGGCGAAGGCGGCAUCCUGGACCGACACUGACGCUGAGGCGCGAAAGCUAGGGUAGCAAACGGG